ACUAUCAUUAUAGAAAUAAUAAAUUAUAAACAAGUUUAAUUGGUUCAUAUUUGUUUAAAAGAUUUCAAAAGUUUUAUUGUAGAUUUUCCAUCUGUCAACUCCGACAGGAAGUCCGAAAUUCAACAGCGUUGGACGAAAUCAAAUGUUAUAAGUAGGACUGUAAAACGCCAUUUGAAGCAUGUGAAGCUCCCCCAUCUGGUUUGAUUGCUGCUAGCCAGUUUUGUAUUCGUUUCGGUAAAUAUCUUAUUUAAUUCAUGCAACUAAGACUGAAUUUUGCAUUCCUUUGAACCACACUAGCUCUACUUAGCUUAUAGUGGCCAAGCGGACAUGCUAAAUUAAAAUUUAUUCUGAUCUACCGUUGUCUCCUUAUUUGGAACACAUGGAUUGAACCGAAUUAAAACAUUUGAUAGUAGUAACAUAAAGUAAUUGAUGUUGAAGGCACUGAGGCACACUGUGGAUAAUUUGUUGAAGAACCCUCACAUCGCUACCUGAAGUUGCAGAUUUCCUGGUGAAAUAAUUCUGUUUGGUGUAUUUUAUAGUAUCUAUAUUGACAAAUAAACAAUUUUUAAAAUUA